GCACCGGGGCGCGGCUUUGGCGGGACGGAGCCCGCUCGGCGGCGAGCGAGGUGCCGCGGCCGUGCGCUGGCGCUGGGAGGUGCGGGUGCCAGCGGCUCCCCUCAGUUCCGGCAUCGCUGUGCUUCGUUUCGCUUCAGUCCGAGGGGAUUUUUUUUUUCUUCUGCUCUGUGGUUUUCUUAGAAGCUUUGCAGGAUGAUGCUCUGAGGAGUGCACUGAAGAGCUGUGAAGAGCUGGGAGGUGGCAGGUACAGGAGUGCCACACCUGAACUGCUCCUGCCUUCCCUGGAACAUCCCCCUGAAGCUAACAUUUAUGGUUCCCACAAGGAUGCAUGCUGUUCCCCAGUGGUUCUAUGAAUGCUGCUGUGCACCCCACCCAAAGCCCCACUGAGGAGGGUCCCUGCUGAUAUGGGGGACCAUGGCUUCACCUCCUGUGCUCCUGAGCACUUUCUGCUGCUGACUUUGCUUCUCUACCUGCUGUUUAUAAAUGUUUUACAGAAUCUGCUUCCUUGAAACCAAAAUGAGGCAACAGCUGUGCUUGCAGCAAGUUGCAACAUCUCCUUGCUGGAUGGAGGCACGUCUUGUCACAAGUGGUGCUGGUAGCAAAACCUCAGUGAAAGAACCUGCCUGCCUGGGGGUGUUCACUCCUCUGAGGACCCUGUCUGCAGUGCUACAACCAGAUGUGUCUUAGGAUGCAAUCAAAUUCAAGAUCUGCUCAGCUGAAAACUAGAAGAGCGAGGAACACUCAUUUUCACACAGCACAAAAUUGCCUCAAGAAGAAGCUUUGAAUGUGGUGCCAGCACAGCAGCACUGCCAGCAGUGAGAGAAAAUAAGACAAGUACCUCCAAGCUGUAAUAAAUACUGCUGUUAUUGCCUAUUGUUCAUCUGAAUCUCUACUCCUGAGAACUUGAGUUAAAUCCCAAAUUUUCCUUUUAUUUUUAGGCAGAAUAUCCAGCAAGUUAAAAAACCAGUAUCACAAGAAGGUCCUAAGAUGGGGCUUGCUCCAGUUUUCCUGCUGAGCAUGUGUUUAGGAAUUGCUGCUAAAAAAAAGUCAGAGAGGAUGGUAGUUGCUGUGCUGUCACAUGGCCUGAUACAGCACAGAAUCUGCUUAGCAUUCUUGAAGGGAAAUUAUCCAGUGCUGCAACUCACAAUUUAUAAUUGGUUGCAUAUUAAUAGCUAAAAAAGGCAAUAAAAUCCACUGUGUGUUUAAAAAAAAAAAAAAAAGUAUUACAAACUGAGCAGUGAAAAUCUGGAAGACUUCUUGGCUAGAGCAGGGCUGUGUGCAGUGUUGUUUCUCCUGUAUUAAUUACAAGCAAUUUAAAAUCAUCUUCUUCCUUCAAGGAAGGGUUUUGUUCAGCGUUUUUGUUAAUUUUAAUCUUGCUAAUGUGAUACUCUCUUGGAACCUCUGCCUUGUGUCAUAACAGUGAGACAUGCUGCCUCUUUUGUCCCUGCCCUUUGGGAAACACAGUUACUGCUGCUCAUUGCCUAACCCUGCUGUCGUGACUAUCAGUACACCUCCCUUGAAAGGGAAAGAAACUAAAACUCAGCAGCAGAAUUGU